AUUGAACGCUGGCGGCAGGCCUAACACAUGCAAGUCGAACGAGUGGCGGACGGGUGAGUAAUGUCUGGGAAACUGCCCGAUGGAGGGGGAUAACUACUGGAAACGGUAGCUAAUACCGCAUACCAUCGGAUGUGCCCAGAUGGGAUUAGCUUGUAGGUGAGGUAACGGCUCACCUAGGCGACGAUCCCUAGCUGGUCUGAGAGGAUGACCAGCCACACUGGAACUGAGACACGGUCCAGACUCCUCCGGGAGGAAGCAGUGGGGAUGAGUGCACAAUGGGCGCAAGCCUGAUGCAGCAAUGCCGCGUGUAUGAAGAAGGCCUUCGGGUUGUAAAGUACUUGCAGCGGGGAGGCGUGACCCGCAGAAGAAGCACCGGCUAACUCCGUGCCAGCAGCCGCGGUAAUAC
rnacentral:rRNA from 1 species